rnacentral:rRNA from 1 species
GACGAACGCUGGCGGCGUGCUUAACACAUGCAAGUCGAACGCUGAAGGCCCAGCUUGCUGGGUUGGAUGAGUGGCGAACGGGUGAGUAACACGUGAGUAACCUGCCCCCUUCUUUGGGAUAACGGUCGGAAACGGCUGCUAAUACCGGGUAUUCACUGUCCUUCGCAUGGGGGGUGGUGGAAAGGUUUUUUCUGGUGGGGGAUGGGCUCGCGGCCUAUCAGCUUGUUGGUGGGGUGAUGGCUUACCAAGGCUUUGACGGGUAACCGGCCUGAGAGGGUGACCGGUCACAUUGGGACUGAGAUACGGCCCAGACUCCUACGGGAGGCAGCAGUGGGGAAUAUUGCACAAUGGGCGAAAGCCUGAUGCAGCGACGCCGCGUGAGGGAUGACGGCCUUCGGGUUGUAAACCUCUUUCGCUCAUGGUCAAGCCGCAACAGUGGUUGUGGUGAGGGUAGUGGGUAAAGAAGCGCCGGCUAACUACGUGCCAGCAGCCGCGGUAAUACGUAGGGCGCGAGCGUUGUCCGGAAUUAUUGGGCGUAAAGGGCUUGUAGGCGGUUGGUCGCGUCUGCCGUGAAAUCCUCUGGCUUAACUGGGGGCGUGCGGUGGGUACGGGCUGACUUGAGUGCGGUAGGGGAGACUGGAACUCCUGGUGUAGCGGUGGAAUGCGCAGAUAUCAGGAAGAACACCGGUGGCGAAGGCGGGUCUCUGGGCCGUUACUGACGCUGAGGAGCGAAAGCGUGGGGAGCGAACAGG